rnacentral:rRNA from 1 species
UACGUAGGGUGCAAGCGUUAAUCGGAAUUACUGGGCGUAAAGCGUGCGCAGGCGGUUUUUCAAGACAGAUGUGAAAUCCCCGGGCUUAACCUGGGAAUGGCAUUUGUGACUGGAAGGCUAGAGUGUGUCAGAGGGGGGUAGAAUUCCAUGUGUAGCAGUGAAAUGCGUAGAGAUGUGGAGGAAUACCGAUGGCGAAGGCAGCCCCCUGGGAUAACACUGACGCUCAUGCACGAAAGCGUGGGGAGCAAACAGG